rnacentral:rRNA from 1 species
UACGAAGGGGGCGAGCGUUGUUCGGAAUUACUGGGCGUAAAGGGCGCGUAGGCGGCCGAUCAAGUCAGAUGUGAAAGUCCUGGGCUUAACCUGGGGACUGCAUUUGAUACUGAUUGGCUUGAAUGCAGGAGAGGAUAGCGGAAUUCCCAGUGUAGAGGUGAAAUUCGUAGAUAUUGGGAAGAACACCGGUGGCGAAGGCGGCUAUCUGGACUGUGAUUGACGCUGAGGCGCGAAAGCGUGGGGAGCAAAC